rnacentral:rRNA from 1 species
GACGAACGCUGGCGGCGUGCUUAACACAUGCAAGUCGAGCGGUAAGGCCCUUUCGGGGGUACGACGAGCGGCGAACGGGUAGAGUAACACGUGGGUGACCUCGCCCUCCAGCUCUGGCAUAAGCCUGGGAAACCGGGUACUAAUACCGGAUAUGACUCCAUGACGCAUGUUGUGGGGUGGAAAGCCUUGUGCGGCUGAGGAUGGGCCCGCGGCCUAUCAGC